AUUGAACGCUGGCGGCAUGCCUUACACAUGCAAGUCGAACGGCAGCACGGGAGCUUGCUCCUGGUGGCGAGUGGCGAACGGGUGAGUAAUACAUCGGAACGUACCCUGAAGUGGGGGAUAACGUAGCGAAAGUUACGCUAAUACCGCAUAUUCUGUGAGCAGGAAAGAGGGGGAUCGCAAGACCUCUUGCUUUAGGAGCGGCCGAUGUCGGAUUAGCUAGUUGGUGAGGUAAAGGCUCACCAAGGCGACGAUCCGUAGCGGGUCUGAGAGGAUGAUCCGCCACACUGGGACUGAGACACGGCCCAGACUCCUACGGGAGGCAGCAGUGGGGAAUUUUGGACAAUGGGCGCAAGCCUGAUCCAGCCAUGCCGCGUGAGUGAAGAAGGCCUUCGGGUUGGUUAAAGGAC
rnacentral:rRNA from 1 species